rnacentral:rRNA from 1 species
UACGUAGGGUGCGAGCGUUGUCCGGGAUUAUUGGGCGUAAAGGGCUCGUAGGCGGUCUGUCACGUCGGGAGUGAAAACUCAGGGCUUAACCCUGAGCCUGCUUCCGAUACGGGCAGACUAGAGGUAUGCAGGGGAGAAUGGAAUUCCUGGUGUAGCGGUGAAAUGCGCAGAUAUCAGGAGGAACACCGAUGGCGAAGGCGGUUCUCUGGGCAUUACCUGACGCUGAGGAGCGAAAGUGUGGGGAGCGAACAGG